rnacentral:lncRNA from 1 species
UUUCUAUUAUAUUUCAGAGAAAAGCAAGAAAGUGUUGGCUAAGACAUGCUUAUUGGGUGUAUUAGGGAGUUCAUGUGGAGCAAAGAUAGUUAAGGACAAGUCGAAAUGCUUCAUGUGUGAAGGGGAUUGGCUAGAUGAAAAACUAGAGCACCAAGACAUUUGCACUUUUAAUUAGUUGAUAAAUAUAAUUUUUGGGACAAAUAGCAAAUAUCCCGCGGUUCUAGUUUUUGAUGUGGCUAGUCUCCAUCACAUAUGAAGUUUUUUGGACUUCACCUUAACUAUCUUUGCUUCCCACGAAUUCCCAUACGCAUACCAAUAAGCAUGUUUUGCCAACAUUUUCUAGUUUUUUUUCUUAUGAAAACAAGACGGUACUUGCUAAAUCUAUCAUAAGUGUAAACUUCAUCAAUUACUACUCGAAUGGAAUAAUGCCUAUCUUUUUAUCAUAUAUUCAUCCAAUUUUUAUUACCUCCUUUUAGUAAAUGCUGGAAUCGCUACUCAUGAAGGAAUAUAAUCCAGUAUAUUAUAAUGGAAAAAUGGAAAAUAGUGGGAAAUUUGUAAAAAGAACAAUUUACUGAAAUUAAACGAUUUAAUAUUUAGUUUCAUGUAUAUUAUACUGGAGUUUAUAUUGUAAAAUCACUAUAUCCUGUAAUUACUACUGCAAAUGAAUAUUGCUGAUUUUUUAUCCUGUAUUCAUUCAAUUUUUCUUAUCUCCUAUAGAAUACG